GUUUGGAUGAAUCAGUGGGUGGAAAGCACAUGAAGAUGAUAAGAAAAUUCGCAAAAAGAUUUCAGCAUGUAUCGGAAUGCAGCAUAUCUGAGGAGGACGACGAAUGAAAUGAAGUGUGUGGUCAUAAUGGUUUUCGUAUUCAAGAUGAAUGUAACCUGCACUUCGGCAACCCAAUCACAUUUACAAUUUUUAAGAAAGGGGGAACCAAAAUAUCUCCCUUCUGGCUCAGUGCCGAAAUUAGGUUCAUAUCAAAUUAAGAACCACACAGGGAUAAAUUCGACAGAAACCUUUACGAUCUGGAUGGGAAAAAUGAGAAUAGGAACUUCCGCUUAAGGUUUCAACCGUAUCGAACGAGUAAGGCAAGUUAGAUGUGUGGGCCACAAAGGCCAGCAGAACAUGAAUCGAAAAAGAAAAGGAGAAGGAUGAAAUUGAAAACCAGGAACGGGAAAA